CAAUUGCAAGUUUCAUGAAUUAAAAUAAUUAUUGAAUGCGGAAGUGGUGUGACGACGAAUAAUAAUUAAUUAUUAUUACAUUUAACGCCUUUUUGUCAUCUUCCAGAUUUGUUAAAUAUGAUGCACUUUAUGCUGCUGUUCAGCCGGCAGGGGAAACUGCGGCUACAGAAAUGGUACGUAGCACACCAGGAUAAGAUGAAGAAGAAGAUCGCGAGGGAACUUGUUACUCUUGUGCUUGGGAGGAAACCAAAAAUGUGCAGCUUCCUGGAGUGGAAGGAUCAGAAAGUUGUCUAUAAAAGAUACGCCAGUCUAUAUUUCUGCUGCGCAAUAGAUCCAGAAGACAAUGAACUGCUUACGCUCGAGGUUAUACACAGAUACGUAGAACUUCUAGACAAAUACUUUGGCAGUGUAUGUGAGCUAGAUAUAAUCUUCAACUUUGAGAAGGCCUAUUUCAUGUUGGAUGAGCUGUUGCUAGGAGGCGAGGUGCAGGAGACUAGCAAGAAGAAUGUACUCAAGGCAAUUGCGGCUCAGGAUCUACUACAAGAGGAAGAGGCACUAGACAGCACUCUCUCUGAAUAUGGGCUUACCUAGCAACGGUUGUCAUAGAAACGCAUCUUAGGGGCUGACUGGAUUUGAGUUGCAUUUAGAGGAGACUCCCCAGGGAUUCUUCGAGGACCACGGGCUCGGUUGACACGCAUGACUGAAGCUACAUUUCCCACCCACUUACUAACACACGCUGCCUGCCUGUCUGGCCUGUGCUGUAUAUGAAGAAUUAUGAUUGUGUAUAUUUAAUUUAUGAAUUUACAUUAAGUGUGUUAUGGCUGUAUAUAUUGAUUUGUUAAUUUACUUUAAUCAGGAGUAAACCUUCAAAAACAAUGCCACUUAUUCUUUUAAUGACUCGUUAAUGCUUAAACUAAAUACUAUCCUUUAGUAAUAUAAACAUUAAGUUUGACUGUUGAUAGCGCAAGCAUAUUUAUGACCAUUCUUGGUUUGUUUUGUACAUUCCAACUGAGCAGGCUAUAUUGAUAUGGAAGAGUAUAUCUUACAUACAGUUGUUGUGAUCAUGUAGUCAUGUUGACUUGUUUUUGUCAAUGUAUCUAGUUAAUAAGUGAACAAGGUGACAUACUCACUUUGACAUGUCAUCUUAUUCAAUAUUAAACAAGUCAAAAUGAACACUAUCGACAUCAUCUGUAUUAUACAUACGAUAUUCUCUUCCAUAAUAUUUAUAAUAUUUGUAUAAUUAUUAUUUUCCAUAUAGUCAUUGCAAUGCAUGCAUGUAAUAAAGCAUUGGGUGGAAAUCAUGUUUUUGU